GGGAACUGGAUUUUUCAUCAGAUGAAAACAACGAAACAGCACCCCCCACCGCUCCCAAUAUUCUGAAUUUAGAUCAUCUAUUUAAGCAUCAAGGCCUGCCAUGCAAUCACUUUAGAUUGAAGAAGCUGCUUUAAUGAAGAGUGGAGCAGUACUCUUUCUCCGAGGUUUGAAGCUGUUCUGAAGCGUUUUUGGAAGUAGCAUCUAGAGCUCUGCUAAUCAAGUGAAUUGAACAGAGCUCUUCAGCGUUUGUCUCUCAUGAAACCGAGCAUACAGCUUGAUCUUUGCAUUAUCUAAAAAGACCUAAGUGCAAAACUGUAUUAUCUUAUGGCCAGUUUGCUUAGUUGUGAUAAUGAACUUUUCAGCAGCUGAAGCUUGUCCC